rnacentral:sRNA from 12 species
GUCAUUCGCGGCUACGGCUUCGAGUGCGUGUCCUUGUUAUACUUCAAGGGAGAGGUAAUCCUUCGCCUUGUCUCUGACGGCGUAAAAACAGUGACGAGC